AGUGAACGCUGGCGGUAGGCCUAACACAUGCAAGUCGAACGGCAGCACAGUAAGAGCUUGCUCUUACGGGUGGCGAGUGGCGUACGGGUGAGGAAUACAUCGGAAUCUACUUUUUCGUGGGGGAUAACGUAGGGAGACUUACGCUAAUACCGCAUACGACCUACGGGUGAAAGCGGGGGAUCUUCGGACCUUGCGCGAUUGGAUGCGCCGAUGUCGGAUUAGCUAGUUGGCGGGGUGAAGGCCCACCAAGGCGACGAUCCGUAGCUGGUCUGGGAGGAGGAUCAGCCACACUGGAACUGAGACACGGUCCAGACUCCUACGGGAGGCAGCAGUGGGGAAUAUUGGACAAUGGGCGCAAGCCUGAUCCAGCCAGACCGCGUGGGUGAAGAAGGCCUUCGGGUUGUAAAGCCCGUUUUUGGGGAAAGAAAAGCAGCAGGUUAAUACCCCGCGGUUCUGACGGUACCCAAAGAAUAAGCACCGGCUAACUUCGUG
rnacentral:rRNA from 1 species